CUUUACUUUGACAUUGACACCGGGACAGAGAGGGAGUGCUUUUAUCAAGAUCGAAUCUCUACAACACCUAGCUGUGUAUUCAUCUUGCAUGAAAAUAGUAAAUCUGUCAAAUCAAGAAAACAAAGCAGCACAUACCGCGCUAUUUUCUGAUCUGAAAACGUCAACAGCUAAGUAAGAGAAUCAGGAUUGUUUUUCCGACCGUCCCUGGCAAUAAUUAAAAAUUAGCUACGGUCCGAGUGCAAGGCCACAGCAUGCCAAAGUGAAAUUUGCCAAAAAGUGCCUUUAUUACUGCGUCAUCUAACUGUGCAACGAAAAAGGUGCUCCUGGUCCUGCAUUGUCUGACCGAAUGUUUGCCGAUAAGACUGCAAUUAUGCCAUCGCGUGAAAUCACUUGUCCAGUAGUUGACCGAACUGAAGUUUCAAGCACAAGUAUUUCGAUCAUGGAAACCUUAUGUCGCGGCUGUGUUCAAGUAAUGAAUUUUUGUUAUCAGGGACCCAUACUCUACUCUGCGUUUCUAAUAAAACCGUUGUCCGGAAGUUUCGAUAAGGCGCAGAACUGCAGCUUGCGUCAAAGAUGGACUAUCAAUGAGGAAACCAGUUUUUUCAUGGCUUCUCACCGAGGUUUGCAACAUGUCUGCUAGCCCGGAAAUUAAGCGACUAUUCCUACGCAGUAGAUAAAUUAUGGGCUCAUCGAAUACACACAUUCCAAACCGUGGAUUGAAUUUCUUGUUACUGUCCACUGGUAGCUCAGCAUACCACACAAGUAAGUGCUAUAUUUUACUACUGUUGCAUGUGCGUUU